rnacentral:rRNA from 1 species
AACGAACGCUGGCGGCAUGCCUAACACAUGCAAGUCGAACGAGGUCUUCGGGUCUAGUGGCGCACGGGUGCGUAACGCGUGGGAAUCUGCCCUCAGGUUCGGAAUAACCAUUGGAAACGAUGGCUAAUACCGGAUGAUGACGUUAAGUCCAAAGAUUUAUCGCCUGAGGAUGAGCCCGCGUAGGAUUAGCUAGUUGGUGUGGUAAAGGCGCACCAAGGCGACGAUCCUUAGCUGGUCUGAGAGGAUGAUCAGCCACACUGGGACUGAGACACGGCCCAGACUCCUGCGGGAGGCAGCAGGGGGGAAUAUGGGACAAGGGGCGAAAGCCUGGUCCAGCAAGGCCGGGUGAGUGAUGAAGGCCUUAGGGUUGUAAAGCUCUUUUACCCGGGAUGAAAUGACAGUACCGGGAGAAUAAGCUCCGGCUAACUCCGUG